rnacentral:rRNA from 1 species
UCGAGAAUUUUUCUCAAUGGGCGCAAGCCUGAAGGAGCGACGCCGCGUGGGGGAUGAAGGGUUUCGAUCCGUAAACCCCUGUCAUUUGUGAACAAAGCUUAUUCAAUAACACUGGAUAAGUUGAUAGUAAUGAAAGAGGAAGGGACGGCUAACUCUGUGCCAGCAGCCGCGGUAAUACAGAGGUCCCGAGCGUUGUUCGGAUUCACUGGGCGUAAAGGGUGCGUAGGUGGCAUGCAAAGUUUGAUGUGAAAGCUCAGGGCUUAACCCUGAAAUGGCAUUGAAUACUGGCGUGCUGGAGGUUUGGAGGGGGGACUGGAAUUCUCGGUGUAGCAGUGAAAUGCGUAGAUAUCGAGAGGAACACCAGUGGCGAAGGCGAGUCCCUGGACAACACCUGACACUGAGGCACGAAAGCCGGGGGAGCAAACAG